rnacentral:rRNA from 1 species
GCACGGGAGGUAGUGACAAAAAAUAACGAUACGGGACUCUAUUGAGGCCCCGUAAUCGGAAUGAGUACACUUUAAAUCCUUUAACAAGGAUCCAUUGGAGGGCAAGUCUGGUGCCAGCAGCCGCGGUAAUUCCAGCUCCAAUAGCGUAUAUUAAAGUUGUUGCGGUUAAAAAGCUCGUAGUUGGUUCUGCGUGCCGCGCUGUCGGUUCGCCGCCUGUCGGUGUAACUGGCAUGUCGCGGCAUGUCCUGUCGGUGGUGAACGGGCAUUCCCGGUGCAGCGUAGGCUUUUAUAGCCGAAGUUCGUACCGUGUGAAUACCGUUUGCCGAUCUCUCCUACUCCGGUGCUCUUAAACGAGUGUCGAGGUAGGCCGACACGUUCACUUUGAACAAAUUAGAGUGCUUAAAGCAGGCUGAAAUAUCUGCCUGAAUAGUGGUGCAUGGAAUGAUAAAAUAGGACCUCGGUUCUAUUUUGUUGGUUUUAGGAAUGUGAGGUAAUGAUCAAUGUGGACUGGCGGGGGCAUUCGUAUUGCGACGUUAGAGGUGAAAUUCUUGGAUCGUCGCAAGACGCACUAAAGCGAAAGCAUUUGCCAAGUAUGUCUUAAUUGAUCAAGAACGAAAGUUAGAGGUUCGAAGGCGAUCAGAUACCGCCCUAGUUCUAACCAUAAACGAUGCCAGCCAGCGAUCCGCCGAUGUUCCUUUAAUGACUCGGCGGGGAGCUUCUACCCGGGAAACCAAAGCUUUUGGGUUCCGGGGGAAGUAUGGUUGCAAAGCUGAAACUUAAAGGAAUUGACGGAAGGGCACCACCAGGAGUGGAGCCUGCGGCUUAAUUUGACUCAACGCG